rnacentral:rRNA from 1 species
AACGAACGCUGGCGGCAGGCUUAACACAUGCAAGUCGAGCGCUCCGCAAGGGGAGCGGCAGACGGGUGAGUAACGCGUGGGAAUCUACCCAUCUCUACGGAAUAACGCAUGGAAACGUGUGCUAAUACCGUAUACGUCCUUCGGGAGAAAGAUUUAUCGGAGAUGGAUGAGCCCGCGUUGGAUUAGCUAGUUGGUGGGGUAAAGGCCUACCAAGGCGACGAUCCAUAGCUGGUCUGAGAGGAUGAUCAGCCACACUGGGACUGAGACACGGCCCAGACGCCGACGGGAGGCAGCAGAGGGGACUAUUUGACAAUGGGCGCAAGCCUGAUCCAGCCAUGCCGCGGGAGUGAUGAAGGCCCUAGGGUUGUAAAGCUCUUUCACCGGUGAAGAUAAUGACGGUAACCGGAGAAGAAGCCCCGGCUAACUUCGUGCCAGCCGCCGCAGUAUCAC